rnacentral:rRNA from 1 species
AAAUUGAAGAGUUUGAUCAUGGCUCAGAUUGAACGCUGGCGGCAGGCCUAACACAUGCAAGUCGAACGGUAACAGGAAGCAGCUUGCUGCUUCGCUGACGAGUGGCGGACGGGUGAGUAAUGUCUGGGAAACUGCCUGAUGGAGGGGGAUAACUACUGGAAACGGUAGCUAAUACCGCAUAAUGUCGCAAGACCAAAGAGGGGGACCUUCGGGCCUCUUGCCAUCGGAUGUGCCCAGAUGGGAUUAGCUUGUUGGUGGGGUAACGGCUCACCAAGGCGACGAUCCCUAGCUGGUCUGAGAGGAUGACCAGCCACACUGGAACUGAGACACGGUCCAGACUCCUACGGGAGGCAGCAGUGGGGAAUAUUGCACAAUGGGCGCAAGCCUGAUGCAGCCAUGCCGCGUGUAUGAAGAAGGCCUUCGGGUUGUAAAGUACUUUCAGCGGGGAGGAAGGGAGUAAAGUUAAUACCUUUGCUCAUUGACGUUACCCGCAGAAGAAGCACCGGCUAACUCCGUGCCAGCAGCCGCGGUAAUACGGAGGGUGCAAGCGUUAAUCGGAAUUACUGGGCGUAAAGCGCACGCAGGCGGUUUGUUAAGUCAGAUGUGAAAUCCCCGGGCUCAACCUGGGAACUGCAUCUG